GAUGAAGAACGCAGCGAAAUGCGAUAAGUAAUGUGAAUUGCAGAAUUCAGUGAAUCAUCGAAUCUUUGAACGCACAUUGCGCCCGCCAGUAUUCUGGCGGGCAUGCCUGUCUGAGCGUCAUUUCAACCCUCAUGCCCCUAGGGCGUGGUGUUGGGGAUCGGCCAAAGCCCGCGAGGGACGGCCGGCCCCUAAAUCUAGUGGCGGACCCGUCGUGGCCUCCUCUGCGAAGUAGUGAUAUUCCGCAUCGGAGAGCGAUGAGCCCCUGCCGUUAAACCCCCAACUUUCCAAGGUUGACCUCAGAUCAGGUAGGAAUACCCGCUGAACUUAAGCAUAUCAAUAGA
rnacentral:misc_RNA from 1 species